rnacentral:lncRNA from 1 species
UUGGUGUCAGUUUAUCCCCAAUGAACUCCUUUUCAAACACAACUGAGAUUUCUCCAUGGCCCCCUUUUUAAUGCAUGCAUCCAUUUUAAAUGGCUCAGUCUCAUCUUUCUCCUUUUAAUGGCUCCCCACUUUCCUCCUUCUUGUCGAUUGCGUUCAGGUAUGCCCCUUCUUUCAAAACCAGAGUUCAAACCAUAUCCUUUGACUUUGGCUUAUCUUCAACUGGACCAAAUCUUAAUAAAAUGUUAGCUCAGUUUAUUUCUUUUUAUCCUUGUCUCAGUAAUCCUAUCUAGUCAUUGUUAUCUGCUCAUGGAAAAAUAUAAACAUUCUAACUCAUGGCUCCCUUUUUCAAUUGUCACCCUCUUGCUUGUGGAGUGCAAGACACCUGAAGAGGAAGGGCUUCUGCAGAAACUCUCCACAGGGUCGCAACUAUCAUGGGGAAUGUCCACAAAGUGCUCACAUCCACUGAUGUUUGCUAGGUAAAGGAAUGCCCACAUUUAAGGCAGUUAGUUUUGUCGGCCCUGAAUCUCCCAACAUUCCGCUUGAGGAAGACUCUCAGUGUGGAAUUUUCUAAAGUUAUACACUGUUUGUGAACAAAGAAAAGAGAUUGGUCUACAUCUAAACAUUAGCCUAUGAGCUACAUUUAAAAUUCUAAGAAUGAACCCUACACUGACCUUGAAGUGAAAGUUAUGGUGACUUCUUUUGCUUAGAAGCAGACAUAUUCAGAGCUGUGGCAUUCAUCAAUAUAAUAACAUAACAAUGUUUAUUCCAGUUUGAAACAGGUUUAAGGUAUCUGGCCGAGGUCUGCUUUUGUCACUCGAGGUUUCUCUUCUAGAGUUGCAAGGCCUAUAAUUCUCUACAGAAUAUUCUCUGGGGUUUCUAAACAAUUGUCCUACACAAAUUAAUACCUAUUUUUCUAAGCAAAAGCCAACUGAAGCCUUCCCAUUAAAACUGUAUGUGCAGCAUGCUGUACAACAUCUAAUGUCAUUUGUUCCCCAGGGGAUGAUGGCUGAGCAAUACAUUGUGACAUUUAGGGUCAGUCCUACCAUUGGCCAAGCUGAAUCAGUUGUCUCUGCUUGUGAAGCAGUAGGUGGGCUGAAGCCACUGCUACCACCACCACAAGGCAACAUCUACUGCUCCCCUGUGUCACCAAAGAAGCCAAAGAAGAAGAGGAAGACUGAAAAGAUGGACAACUAGGGGAGAUCAUAUAUCUACUCUGCAAAGUGCCUUCCUCUGUCCCUUAUUAGAGACGAUGAGUACCGACACCAUCAUAUAUUUCCUGGUGUACAUCCUUUUCUACAUAAAGACACCAGGGGCCCAAAUUGGACCAUUCCCUGUUCACCUGUUCCCAUCCAUUGUGCACAGCCAUUUGGAUCUUUCUGACAUUAAGUGUC